UGCAACAUGGGGCCGCCAUGGCGGGGCCUGCUCCCAUGUAGAUAUGAAGAGCUCAUUCUAAGCCCAUAAACACAUUGAUUCAUUGUUGCAGGUAAUUAUACACUAAUUAACAGAUAGUUAUGAAUGCUAUAAUCCAUUUCCGCUCAUAACCCCCUUUAAAUCCUACACAGUGUA